CUUAGUGGCGGACUGGUGAGUAACGCGUGAGGAGCCUGCCUUUCAGAGGGGGACAACAGCUGGAAACGGCUGCUAAUACCGCAUAAGCCCACGGAUCCGCAUGGAUCUGCGGGAAAAGGAUUUAUUCGCUUCAGGAUGGACUCGCGUCCAAUUAGCUAGUUGGUGAGGUAACGGCCCACCAAGGCGACGAUUGGUAGCCGGACUGAGAGGUUGAACGGCCACAUUGGGACUGAGACACGGCCCAGACUCCUACGGGAGGCAGCAGUGGGGGAUAUUGCACAAUGGGGGAAACCCUGAUGCAGCGACGCCGCGUGGAGGAAGAAGGUUUUCGGAUUGUAAACUCCUGUCGUUAGGGACGAUAAUGACGGUACCUAACAAGAAAGCACCGGCUAACUACGUGCCAGCAGCCGCGGUAAAACGUAGGGUGCAAGCGUUGUCCGGAAUUACUGGGUGUAAAGGGAGCGCAGGCGGACCGGCAAGUUGGAAGUGAAAACUAUGGGCUCAACCCAUAAAUUGCUUUCAAAACUGCUGGCCUUGAGUAGUGCAGAGGUAGGUGGAAUUCCCGGUGUAGCGGUGGAAUGCGUAGAUAUCGGGAGGAACACCAGUGGCGAAGGCGACCUACUGGGCACCAACUGACGCUGAGGCUCGAAAGCAUGGGUAGCAAACAGG
rnacentral:rRNA from 1 species